CGGCUUGCUGAGGAGAAAUAAAAUGGAUAUGCGAAUCAAUCCCGCCGGCCGUUACAAUUCGGUUUUCACCUGCGAUAACUUCAGUGUUGGGUCCAAUGAUCAGUUGAGGGUCAACACCAUCCUGGGUAUGCGGGUUACCCGCCUUGCCAAUUCCGACAAUAUGGCCAUUUUUGAUUCCGAUAUCGGCCUUAAUGAUCCCCGUCAUCGCAUCAACGAUAAGUGCACUCGUAAUUACUGUGUCGACGGAUUCCGCAUCAGGCGCUUGAGGGUCUUGCGCCAUCCCAUCAC
rnacentral:sRNA from 1 species